AUUGAACGCUGGCGGCAUGCUUUACACAUGCAAGUCGAACGGCAGCACGGGUGCUUGCACCUGGUGGCGAGUGGCGAACGGGUGAGUAAUGCACCGGAACGUACCCAGUAAUGGGGGAUAACACAUCGAAAGAUGUGCUAAUACCGCAUACGCCCUGAGGGGGAAAGCGGGGGAUCGUAAGACCUCGCGUUAUUGGAGCGGCCGAUGCCGGAUUAGCUAGUUGGUGAGGUAAAGGCUCACCAAGGCGACGAUCCGUAGCUGGUCUGAGAGGACGACCAGCCACACUGGGACUGAGACACGGCCCAGACUCCUACGGGAGGCAGCAGUGGGGAAUUUUGGACAAUGGGCGAAAGCCUGAUCCAGCCAUGCCGCGUGAGUGAAGAAGGCCUUCGGGUUGUAAAGCUCUUUCGCAAGGAAAGAAAACUUAUCUACUAAUACUAGGUGAGGAUGACGGUACCUUGAUAAGAAGCACCGGCUAACUACGUGCCAGCAGCCGCCGUAAAAC
rnacentral:rRNA from 1 species